rnacentral:rRNA from 1 species
GAUGAACGCUGGCGGCGUGCUUAACACAUGCAAGUCGAACGAUGAACCGGGUGCUUGCACUCGGGGAUUAGUGGCGAACGGGUGAGUAACACGUGAGCAACCUGCCCCUGACUCUGGGAUAAGCGCUGGAAACGGCGUCUAAUACUGGAUAUGUCCCGUCACCGCAUGGUGUGCGGGUGGAAAGAUUUUUCGGUUGGGGAUGGGCUCGCGGCCUAUCAGCUUGUUGGUGAGGUAAUGGCUCACCAAGGCGUCGACGGGUAGCCGGCCUGAGAGGGUGACCGGCCACACGGGGACUGAGACACGGCCCAGACUCCUACGGGAGGCAGCAGUGGGGAAGAUUGCACAAUGGGCGGAAGCCUGAUGCAGCAACGCCGCGUGAGGGAUGACGGCCUUCGGGUUGUAAACCUCUUUCAGUAGGGACGAAGCGAAAGUGACGGUACCUAAAGAAGAAGCACCGGCUAACUACGUGCCAGCCGCCGCCGUAA